CCUCCUGCGUUGACCACCGGUAUCCCACUGGUGGUCUUGGAGACCGGCGUUGGUUGAAAAUCACCCCCGGCUUUGGCCGUGGCCGCGGGUGAGAUUCGACGCCCAGAGCCUCCGGGGGCCUCAGCUCACCGCGCGCUGCUCCAUGUGCGGCGGUGAAACCCAGGCCCCGACAGGCGCCGCGUCCUCCCCCCAGGACACUGGUCCUCCCACGCCUGAGACCGACGUCGCCAGGACCGCGGGGUCGGGGGGACUCGGCUGUCUCCUGUCUUUCAAAUAAAGCUGUUUGCCUAACUCA